AAUUUUUAAAGUUCUACUUCAGGAUUUAUGCACUCUUAAUGGAUGGAGAUUAUUUCUUUGUAUAAUAUAAAUAUCCCAAAGAUUUAAUGAAGCCAUAAAAACAUUCAUUAGACUUCUGUAAUUAGAAUUAUGGUUCCAAAAGCUUCGGUGUGCUAAAUAUACUUGCAAUAUUUCAUUGUUUUAAGUUUUCCGUAAACAACUUUCCUGUGGGGAAGAACUCAGAGCUGUGAGGGUGGAAUUCACAUCUGACUUGGUGAGAGGGCCCCCAGCACCACCGCCCCCUGAACUGGGCAAGCCACCUGUCGGACUACUUUUAUGGCGACCUGAUCCCCCAGGCCACCUGCAGCCUGCUGAGGGCCUCUCCUCAGGAAGCUGCGCAGCUUGCCUCAAUUAAAUGUCAUCUCCAACUUGCAACAAGGCCUGAAGAUGGAUUCCUUCUUUCUUGGUGUGACGUUUACUUGAUAUCGGAUCAGGGCCACAGAUAUGUUUUGGAAAACUCUUGGAGGCCUUGAACAACUAUGUAUGUAAAUGCUGGGAUGAAAUGUGGCCCUAACCUCUCAUUGGGAGUAGGGAAAGAUAAUAAUUUCUAAUAGAUAUUGCAAGUCAAGGCAUUUCCGGGUUUGUUCAGGCCAUUUUACUCUCAUGCAAAUGUUUUGUCUGUUUUCUAUGUAAAGAACAGCAAUGACAAGGAGGCCAAUGGUGACAUCUCAGAAUCCAAUCAGAAAACCUGCAUAAAGAUGAAAGGUCUUACCAACAAGAAAAAAGAAGAGUCAGCUGAAAUGACAAAGUAGCAGAAGUCUCUUUUCCACAUACUGAAAUGGCUGAAUAAGCUACACAGAGCAGAAAUGACUUUCCUGCCUGCGAUUUGCAGAGUCCCAGGACAGCAGCUCACACCUGGGGGCGACAGAGCUGUGGCAGUCUGUCAUCUUUGAGCUAUUUUCUCUAUGCACCGAGAAGGAGAGCGGUGAUGCUGCCUUCUGUCUAUGACAGGAAUUGUUUGAAUUAUUUACAAUGAACGGAAAGACAGCUGGGGGGAGAGGAUGGAGAGGCUGGUGCAAUUCUAUAGACAUUGAUCCUGCCGGGAAAAAGAGCAAACUGACUUGCAAUACAAAUGGCGGUGUUGCAAAUGUGAAAGGAAGACCAUUUUCCAAUGUCACUUUCACAAGCUAAAAGAAGUCUCCAUACGUAUUAUGCAUAAGUGAAUGCACAUAGGUGUCCCAGAAGUUCAAGAUGGUUCCUUGUUUUCUUCGUUUCCUACUUAGUUCUCUUUCCAAUGGAAGCUGUGCAGUGGACUUUGAUCUUUUGCAAGAUUUCUCUUCCUGAAGAAAGGUGCCGGUUUAUUACCAAACCGCUUGUAAGAACAGAUCAAAGGCAGAGGAAGAGUGGGGGCUGCAGUCUGGCCAGCUGCUGUGAUGUUCUACAGAAAAUCAAGGACGAUAUCCACAGGACCUGCGAUGUAUCAAGCCAGCUCUUAGUAACAGAGGAAGGCCAAGAGUAGUUGACAAUAAGACUGUAAAGAAACAGUUAUGCUGGUGACACUUCUUAUAUGAGGACUGCCUUCCUAUUUUUCCACAAAUGUAUUCCUGUUAUACAGUUUUUUGUUCUUUUAAUUAAGCACUGCAGGAGAAAAUAAUGGGAUCUUAAAGCCUCAUGUAUUUUGGAAAAGGUAGUAGUAAAUUGUACAGUUUUGACCUUUUCAGCUUUUUGUAAUUUGAUUGGCUGUCUGUUCUUUUUCCUCCACUAUUUACAGCUGCAGUGAACUGUGCAGAAGGGGUAGGAUGGCUAGCCAGCUGAAAUGCAGAAUAUUUAAAAGGUUAAAAUGCUGCAACAUACUGGUGCCUUCCACAGAGUGUAUGGGCAUUAUAAAUUUCGUUGCGUUGAUCACAUAAAGGAUUGAGAAAUUAAAUGACUUCAUGAAUCAUUUUUUGUGGGACAACAAAUGUGACCAAAAUGGGGAAAAAUGGUAUCACUUUGACCCCAGAUCUGGGAAGCAUAUUUUUUUGUAUGUUUAUUAUUUCUGCUGCGGUAAUAGGUGAAGACCCCCUCUGAAGCACAGCAUCAUUUUAGCAGGCACUGAAUAUGUACAAGUGAGACAAAGACAAGCCCUGCCCCAGAAAGCGUGC
ensembl:lncRNA